rnacentral:rRNA from 1 species
CAGUCGCCGCGGGAAUACGAAGGGGGCUAGCGUUGCUCGGAAUGACUGGGCGUAAAGGGCGCGUAGGCGGCGAUCAAAGUCAGGCGUGAAAUUCCUGGGCUCAACCUGGGGGCUGCGUUUGAUACUUGAUUGCUAGAGUGGGGAAGAGGGUCGUGGAAUUCCCAGUGUAGAGGUGAAAUUCGUAGAUAUUGGGAAGAACACCGGUGGCGAAGGCGGCGACCUGGUCCUUGACUGACGCUGAGGCGCGAAAGCGUGGGGAGCAAACAGGAUUAGAGACCCGUGUAGUCCCUGUCCUUAUACC